AACCAUUCUCACCUGCGGCUAGACCUGCGGAGGGAUCAUUAUCGAGUUAGGGUCUUCUCAGGCCCGACCUCCCAACCCUAUGUUUACUAAACCGAUGUUGCUUCGGCGGGCCCGUCUCAGGGCCGCCGGGCGACCGUAAGACGUCCUUUGGCCCGUGCCCGCCGGCGGCCAACCUUAUACAAAUUCUGAUUAAAACGUGUCGUUGUCUGAAUCCCAUUCUUUAAUUAAAGCAAAACUUUC
rnacentral:misc_RNA from 1 species